UGAGUCGGCCGGGUGGCCGCGGCCCGGGCCCUUCGAGGGACACCGGGUCGAGGAAGGUCGGGGCUCCGCAGGGCAGGGUGCUGGCUAACGGCCAGUCGGGGCGACUCGAAGGAAAGUGCAACAGAGAGCAGACCGCCGAUGGCGGGCGUGGCCCGCACAGGCAAGGGUGAAACGGUGCGGUAAGAGCGCACCAGCGGCCGGGGUGACCCGGCCGGCUCGGUAAACCCCACCCGGAGCAAGGCUGAACGUGGGACAGCAGUGGCCCGCUCUGCUCCCCGAGAGGGGGGCGGUCCCCAGGUAGGCCGCACAGAUGGAUGGCCACCGGCGCCUCGAAGGAGACGUCACAGAACCCCGCCUACAGGCCGGCUCACCGU
rnacentral:RNase_P_RNA from 1 species